rnacentral:rRNA from 1 species
CUCUGGUAUUGAUUGGUGCUUGCAUCAUGAUUUACAUUUGAGUGAGUGGCGAACUGGUGAGUAACACGUGGGAAACCUGCCCAGAAGCGGGGGAUAACACCUGGAAACAGAUGCUAAUACCGCAUAACAACUUGGACCGCAUGGUCCGAGUUUGAAAGAUGGCUUCGGCUAUCACUUUUGGAUGGUCCCGCGGCGUAUUAGCUAGAUGGUGGGGUAACGGCUCACCAUGGCAAUGAUACGUAGCCGACCUGAGAGGGUAAUCGGCCACAUUGGGACUGAGACACGGCCCAAACUCCUACGGGAGGCAGCAGUAGGGAAUCUUCCACAAUGGACGAAAGUCUGAUGGAGCAACGCCGCGUGAGUGAAGAAGGGUUUCGGCUCGUAAAACUCUGUUGUUAAAGAAGAACAUAUCUGAGAGUAACUGUUCAGGUAUUGACGGUAUUUAACCAGAAAGCCACGGCUAACUACGUGCCAGCAGCCGCGGUAAUACGUAGGUGGCAAGCGUUGUCCGGAUUUAUUGGGCGUAAAGCGAGCGCAGGCGGUUUUUUAAGUCUGAUGUGAAAGCCUUCGGCUCAACCGAAGAAGUGCAUCGGAAACUGG